rnacentral:sRNA from 1 species
GGGCCUGCGCUCCCUCUGUGAGCAGGUGCCAUCCACUUAGAAUUCCAGGCCAGUGGGAAUCACUACGUGUGGAGGAAGAGCACCUCAACUGUUCACAACAUCAUCGUGGGCAAGCUCUGGAUUGACCAGGUCAGGGGCGCCCUUGGGGAGGGGGUGCAUGGCCCGGGGGCUGGCUGCUGACCACUGCCCUCCUUCGCCAGUCAGGGGACAUCGAGAUUGUGAACCAUAAGACCAAUGACCGGUGCCAGCUGAAGUUCCUGCCCUACAGCUACUUCUCCAAAGAGGCAGCCCGGAAGGUAAGCAGGACCAGCCACCUCUAAGCACCCCAGGGGGCCCAGGGCAGAGUCUGCACCUACGCUGGUCCUGCCAAUGUCCACAGGUGACAGGAGUGGUGAGUGACAGCCAGGGCAAGGCCCAUUACGUGCUGUCCGGCUCGUGGGAUGAACAAAUGGAGUGCUCCAAGGUCGUGCAUAGCAGUCCCAGCAGCCCCAGCUCUGACGGGAAGCAGAAGACAGUGUACCAGACCCUGUCAGCCAAGCUGCUGUGGAAGAAGUACCCGCUGCCGUGAGUAGGGCUGGCAGGGGCCCCGCCACAGGCAAAGGAGAGGGAAGGAGGACAGUGGACAGAAAGCAACUGACAGGCACAGGAGGUCGGGAGGGUUCAGUCCACACAUGGGCAGAGAACAGUAUUAUGCAGCCGACAUCCCAGUGUGAAGGCAGACACCGAACAGUAAAUAAAUGUGAAACUAUCAAACACUAUGCACAGACUUUAAGCGAGGUGAUAGGACACAGCCCCUCCCUGUUCCUCCCUACAAGAAAUAAAAA